rnacentral:sRNA from 1 species
ACCUUCAUCCUCUUUUCCUGCUGGAGAUCUGAUACCUUGCAGGAAGCAAAGGGUCUUUCUUUGCUCAGCUCCCCAGUCACUGUCCCUGCCCUGAAAUGGACACUCUUUUUCUUUACUGCUCUGGGACUCUGACUUAGGAGAA